rnacentral:lncRNA from 1 species
CUAUCCACUUUGUCUCCCGCCCAAUCCGAAUCCGAAUAUCCCAUGAGCUUGAAACUUGAUCCUUUAGGAUAUCAUAUGUAACAUCCCAAAAUUUCAAACCUUUACAUGAGCAUUGCAUCCAUGAGCAUCAUGCCACAAUUGCAUGUUUGAAUUCAAAUUUGAAUCACAAAAGGCUUUAAAGAUUUUGUUUACACCUAUUUGAGCUUUGGAUCUUCAAACCAUUAAAGUUUAUAUAUAAAAGGGGUUUAUUGCACAUAUGAGCUAUCCCAUAAUUUUUGGAUAAUUAUUUGGAGUUGGAAAAGUAUUUUAUUUAAAUGGAUAUAUAGCCCUAAGGGCAUUUAUAGGGCAAAUGUAUUUUUAUAUAUUUUAUUUUGAAGAGAAACUACUUCCAAAAGUUGUAUCAUGGUAGAACAUGAUUUUACAAAUUUUCUGGAAUUUAUUUGGACCAAUUUGGAGUUCAAACUCAAAAGAUAUCAAAAAAAUGGGAAAAACAGAAAAAGACAAGGUCUAAAAGAAAAAAAAAAGGGGUAAACGGACCGGCCCGGCCGAAUUGGGCUGAACCGGCCCAACUCCCCCGCGCGCGCCACCGCCCAGCUGGCCC